rnacentral:lncRNA from 1 species
AUACAUGGACUUAUAUCCGACUCCUAACAACAACAAACGCUAACCAGCGUACACCAAAGAAAAAGGUUCCCGGAACGAACCUCAACAAAGUAAACAGAUAUCCAAAGAUGAACCCCAAAGAUGAUAACCAUCAUCACAAAUGAACCCCAAGUGAGUGACAACCGUCACAAAUGAACCCCAAUAUGAACCCCGAAUGAAUCUCAAAGACGAACCCCAUAAGGUAUAAACAUACCAUACACGCCCACGCUGGACAUCCAAG